rnacentral:rRNA from 1 species
UACAGAGGUCCCAAGCGUUGUUCGGAUUCACUGGGCGUAAAGGGUGCGUAGGUGGCGGGGUAAGUCUGAUGUGAAAUCUCCGAGCUUAACUCGGAAACUGCAUCGGAUACUGCUUUGCUCGAGGGUUGGAGGGGGGACUGGAAUACUUGGUGUAGCAGUGAAAUGCGUAGAUAUCAAGUGGAACACCAGUGGCGAAGGCGAGUCCCUGGACAACUACUGACACUGAGGCACGAAAGCUAGGGGAGCAAACAGG